CACUGAUAAACUGCAUAGUUUUAAACUAAAUUUUUAAAUGGUUGUUCCUUUAUGUUUUGCAUCACUUGUUCAAUACUUUUCUUUUAUUAAUGAAAUGAUUUUCAUGACUUGCUUUAAAAAAAUGUUGUCUCUUUCCUUAGGUUGCAUUAGGUUGCAUGUCAAUACUAGUUAUACUGACUUUCCCUAGAUGCUACAUUAUUUCAUAAUGAAGGUUUGGAGGUAUUUUCUACUAGUACCUUCAAAACUCUCUCGUGGAACAACUGGUAACAAGUGG
rnacentral:lncRNA from 1 species